UACGUAGGGUGCGAGCGUUGUCCGGAAUUAUUGGGCGUAAAGAGCUUGUAGGCGGUCUGUCGCGUCUGCUGUGAAAAUCCGGGGCUCAACCCCGGACUUGCAGUGGGUACGGGCAGACUAGAGUGUGGUAGGGGAGACUGGAAUUCCUGGUGUAGCGGUGAAAUGCGCAGAUAUCGGGAGGAACACCGGUGGCGAAGGCGACUACCUGGCCUGUUCUUGACGCUGAGGCGCGAAAGCUAGGGGAGCAAACGGG
rnacentral:rRNA from 1 species